rnacentral:rRNA from 1 species
GGAUGAGUAUUCUAAGGCGCGUGGAAGAACUCUCUUUAAGGAACUCUGCAAAAUAGCACCGUAUCUUCGGUAUAAGGUGUGGUUAGCUUCGUACUAGGAUUUACUCCGAAAGCGAAGAAACUUACAACAAAGAGUCCCUCCCGACUGUUUACCAAAAACACAGCACUCUGCUAACUCGUAAGAGGAUGUAUAGGGUGUGACGCCUGCCCGGUGCUCGAAGGUUAAUUGAUGGGGUUAGCAUUAGCGAAGCUCUUGAUCGAAGCCCGAGUAAACGGCGGCCGUAACUAUAACGGUCCUAAGGUAGCGAAAUUCCUUGUCGGUUAAAUACCGACCUGCAUGAAUGGCGUAACGAGAUGGGAGCUGUCUCAAAGAGGGAUCCAGUGAAAUUGUAGUGGAGGUGAAAAUUCCUCCUACCCGCGGCAAGACGGAAAGACCCCGUGGACCUUUACUACAGCUUGACACUGCUACUUGGAUAAGAAUGUGCAGGAUAGGUGGGAGGCUUUGAGUAUAUGACGCCAGUUGUAUAUGAGCCAUUGUUGAGAUACCACUCUUUCUUAUUUGGGUAGCUAACCAGCUUGAGUUAUCCUCAAGUGGGACAAUGUCUGGUGGGUAGUUUGACUGGGGCGGUCGCCUCCCAAAUAAUAACGGAGGCUUACAAAGGUUGGCUCAGAACGGUUGGAAAUCGUUCGUAGAGUAUAAAGGUAUAAGCCAGCUUAACUGCAAGACAUACAAGUCAAGCAGAGACGAAAGUCGGUCUUAGUGAUCCGGUGGUUCUGUGUGGAAGGGCCAUCGCUCAAAGGAUAAAAGGUACCCCGGGGAUAACAGGCUGAUCUCCCCCAAGAGCUCACAUCGACGGGGAGGUUUGGCACCUCGAUGUCGGCUCAUCGCAUCCUGGGGCUGGAGCAGGUCCCAAGGGUAUGGCUGUUCGCCAUUUAAAGCGGUACGCGAGCUGGGUUCAGAACGUCGUGAGACAGUUCGGUCCCUAUCUGCCGUGGGCGUAAGAAGAUUGAAGAGAUUUGACCCUAGUACGAGAGGACCGGGUUGAACAAACCACUGGUGUAGCUGUUGUUCUGCCAAGAGCAUCGCAGCGUAGCUAAGUUUGGAAAGGAUAAACGCUGAAAGCAUCUAAGCGUGAAGCCAACUCUAAGAUGAAUCUUCUCUAAGCUCUCUAGAAGACUACUAGUUUGAUAGGCUGGGUGUGUAAUGGAUGAAAGUCCUUUAGCUGACCAGUACUAAUAGAGCGUUUGGCUUAUCUUUAAUAAAGCAU